GAGUAAUGCUUGGGAAUCUGCCCAGUAGUGGGGGACAACACGGGGAAACUCGUGCUAAUACCGCAUACGCCCUACGGGGAAAGCGGGGGAUCUUCGGACCUCGCGCUAUUGGAUGAGCCCAAGUCGGAUUAGCUUGUUGGUGGGGUAAAAGCCCACCAAGGCGACGAUCCGUAGCUGGUCUGAGAGGACGAUCAGCCACACUGGGACUGAGACACGGCCCAGACUCCUACGGGAGGCAGCAGUGGGGAAUAUUGGACAAUGGGGGCAACCCUGAUCCAGCAAUGCCGCGUGUGUGAAGAAGGCCUGCGGGUUGUAAAGCACUUUCAAUUGGGAAGAAAAGCAGUCGGUUAAUACCUGGCUGUCUUGACGUUACCUUUACAAGAAGCACCGGCUAACUCCGUGCCAGCAGCCGCGGUAAUACGGAGGGUGCGAGCGUUAAUCGGAAUUACUGGGCGUAAAGCGCGCGUAGCGGUCAGGUCAGUCGGAUGUGAAAGCCCUGAGCUUAACUUGGGAAUUGCAUUCGAAACUGCCUGGCUAGAGUAUGGGAGAGGGAAGCGGAAUUUCCGGUGUAGCGGUGAAAUGCGUAGAUAUCGGAAGGAACAUCAGUGGCGAAGCAGGCUUCCUGGACCAAUACUGACGCUGAGGUGCGAA
rnacentral:rRNA from 1 species